CGGGUGAGUAACGCGUAGAUAAUCUGCCUUAGACUCUGGGAUAACAUCUCGAAAGGGGUGCUAAUACCGGAUAAGCCCACGAAGACGUGGGUCUUUGCGGGAAAAGGGGGCCUCUGCAUAUGCUCUUGAUCUAAGAUGAGUCUGCGUACCAUUAGCUUGUUGGUAGGGUAAUGGCCUACCAAGGCGACGAUGGUUAGCUGGUCUGAGAGGAUGAUCAGCCACACUGGGACUGAGACACGGCCCAGACUCCUACGGGAGGCAGCAGUGGGGAAUUUUGCGCAAUGGGGGAAACCCUGACGCAGCAACGCCGCGUGAGUGAUGAAGGCUUUCGGGUCGUAAAGCUCUGUCUAGAGGGAAGAAGUGAUAUUUGGUUAAUACCCAGAUUUCUUGACGGUACCUCUGAAGGAAGCACCGGCUAACUCCGUGCCAGCAGCCGCGGUAAUACGGAGGGUGCAAGCGUUGUUCGGAAUUAUUGGGCGUAAAGCGCGUGUAGGCGGUUUGUUAAGUCUGAUGUGAAAGCCCUGGGCUCAACCUGGGAAGUGCAUUGGAAACUGGCAGACUUGAAUACGGGAGAGGGUAGUGGAAUUCCGAGUGUAGGAGUGAAAUCCGUAGAUAUUCGGAGGAACACCGGUGGCGAAGGCGGCUACCUGGACCGAUAUUGACGCUGAGACGCGAAAGCGUGGGUAGCAAACAGGAUUAGAUACCCUGGUAGUCCACGCCGUAAACGAUGAGUACUAGGUGUUGCG
rnacentral:rRNA from 1 species